CGAAGGAGGGUCAACACCGCUGCCAAUCAACUACGAAUCCCUUCGGCCAGUGCGAAGAAGGGCGGGUUCCUGAUGGUUAUUGCUGAAGGUCAUCUUGCAAUCAUAAUAAGAACCACAAGGGCUGGUCCAGCCACAACGAAGUUGGUAGGAUUGCGUGAUUGCCCUUGCAAUUAACUGAGGGGAAUGUCUUCACCUGCAACAUGCUUCCUAACAGCCUAACUCACUCAGCCACGCAAGCUAAUGGGGGACAGCUUGAUCCAGACUUCGGAGAAACCACAACAGCUCACGUAUGGACAGUGUUCACGCCUGUUGCCUAUGGGCCCCUCAGAAGGAUCACCAGAGACAUUCAAACUGCAAACCUGGAAAAUCUGCCAGAUUGCCGCUGCCUGCCCUCCCUCCUUGUGAAGACAUUUCGAGCCCGAGUUGUGAAGACCUAGAAGUCUCCUCCACUGGCUGCCCUCAGAGCUCAGUCUGCGCCAGACAUUCAUCUUUGUGGUACUGUGUCACAUCAUCGCAAGAAGUAGGCUGAGUAUAGUACAAUGAGGUAUUCUAAGAGAGAGGCCACAUUCACAUAACUCUUUUUUAAAAAAUAUUUUAUUUAUUUAUUUGAGAGAGAGUGAGCACAAGCAUCAGUGGGGGAGGGGCAGAGGGAGAGGGAGAAGCAGAUUCCCCCAUGAGCAGGGGGCCGGAUUCAGGAUCCCAGGGAUCACAACCUGAACCAAAGGCAGCCACUUAACUGCUGAGCCACCCAGGCGUCCCUCACAUAACUUCUAUCAUGGUUUAUUGUUAUUAUGUUAUGUAUAAUUUAUAUAUUAUAAUACAGUAUAUUAGUACUGUGGCUCUAACUGUUCUAUAAUUGUUCUAUUUUAUUAUUACUUC